ACAUGGCUCUUUGUUUUAAACAGAUAGAGAGUCGGACCUGCCCGGUGAAUAAUGAUUUAACGGCCGCGGUACCCUGACCGUGCAAAGGUAGCAUAAUCAUUUGCCUUUUAAUUAAAGGCUGGUAUGAAUGGUUUGACGAAAACAAGACUGUCUCUUACCUAAUAUUUAAAAAUUAAUUUUGAUGUGAAGAAGCAUUAAUAAUUCUAAAAGACAAGAAGACCCUGUUGAGCUUUAACGAAAUAAAAAAAUAAUUUUAUGAAUCAAAAAAAUAUUUUUUUUAUAUCUUUUUAGUUGGGGCGACUAAGGAACAAAAUAGCUUCCUUUUAUAGAAAAGAUUUAUUGGUAUUGAUCCAGGAAAUCCUGAUUAGAAGUAUUAGUUACCACAGGGAUAACAGCGUAAUCCUUUUUUAGAGUUCUUAUCGAAAAAAG
rnacentral:rRNA from 1 species